rnacentral:rRNA from 1 species
UGCGUAGGCGGAAUGAUAAGUUAGUGGUGAAAGCCCCCGGCUCAACCGGGGAACUGCCAUUAAUACUGUCAUUCUUGAGUAUAGUUGAAGUGGGCGGAAUGUAUCAUGUAGCGGUGAAAUGCUUAGAUAUGAUACAGAACACCGAUAGCGUAGGCAGCUUGCUAAACUAUAACUGACGCUCAGGCACGAUAGCGUGGGGAGCAAACAGGAUUAGAUACCCUGGUAGUCC